rnacentral:lncRNA from 1 species
UUCAGUUCAUCAGAAGCUGCCCCAUUUGGACAGAAGGUCAAGCAGAGGAUGGAGCCUGCCUGUCCCCAGCAUGUUCCCUGCCCUGGUGGAAAGAAGGCUGAAACGAUGAAUGCUCAUCCAUUUCCUCCUAGUGAAGAAAUUAACAGAACUUUGGCUGGUGAACAUGGGACAGCCAGAAGCAAACUGCAGAUCUCUCCAUUCAAGGUGCCUGUAUCAUCUCUGUGAUGCUUUGAAAACGUUAAUCAACUUCUUGCAAUAACUGUAAGAAGCAUCUUUAACUUGAUAAAUGGUAAAAGAUUGAAGUAGAAGUAAUUUUAUUUCAGCUCCUUUUGGAAUUAAAUAGCCCAGAGAUUCAAGGUGUUGUGUGUCUUUCACUUGGGAUUUUAAAAUACCUAACAGAUGUUGUGGGAUUCUGUUACCGUUUAUUUUCUUGGUUAUGUUUAAAAUCUGGUUGCUUCAGUUUUUUUUGGCCGAAUGGGAGUCCAUCCACUUAAAAUUAGUCUGCAUGCCAUUGUGUCCCUGGGCAUCCAGCCACCUCCACAGGGUGUUGUGGAGAAAACAGCUGCCUGAAUUGUACAUGAUGAGAGAGAUUUAAGACUUCUUGGUAGACAACAUAAAACUGAAUUUCCUGUACCGUAGGUAAAGGUAAGAUUAUACAGUGUUUUGUUACUUUCCUUACAAUGUCAAAACAUUGCUGUGUGGCUCAGUGUGCCCAAAUCAAAGCAGAGUUUCAGGGCAGGUGGAAUACUGUGGCUGCCUGACCUAAGCAUUUAAGUUGCCUGUGUGUUUGAGGAGGCACCACUGGCACAAAGGCAAUGCUCUUUUUUUUUUUUUAAAUCUAAGUAAAACCUGUCAUGUAUAAACUAGCGUGUAGAGCUUAUUUCUAAGCUAAAUAGCAGUGAAAUAAUGUAGAAUGGGGGGUUUUCUAGCCACUACUUUUCUGGAAUGUGUUAUCAGAGGAUGGAGGAAGAAACAGUGGACAAAGAAAAAAGCUUCUUGGACCCCUUUCUACCCCCAGUCUCCUUCAGAAAUCUGGUGGGUGUAUGUUUGUUUGAGAUAAAAAAUCUUGUUUUGGCAAAAUGUUGGCUGAGCUCUCCCUAUUAGUCUGUCAUCAUGAAAAAAACAGAUGUUAAGAUCUCAAGCUGGCAGAUGUUCAUCUAUCCAUUAAAAUUCCUUCUGUUGGAAUAAUAACAAGGAAAGAACAAGCAGGGUGAAGUUUCAACCA